UGUUSCUGGKGGCGAGUGGCGAACGGGUGAGUAAUACAUCGGAACAUGUCCUGUAGUGGGGGAUAGCCCGGCGAAAGUGUAAUACRGCAUACGAUCUACCGUGAAAGCGGGGGACUUCGCMCUCGCGCUAUAUGGWUGCCGAUGGUGAUUAGCUAGUUGGGGGGWAAAGGCUUCCAAGGGACGAUCAGUAGCUGUCUGAGAGGCGACCAGCCCC
rnacentral:rRNA from 1 species